rnacentral:lncRNA from 1 species
CGCUUUUGGCACAGGUGGCCUCUUUGGAAUUAUGUUCCCAGUCUUCUUCCUCCCAUCACCUGCGUGGAAUACGAAGACCAUUUUCAGCAGGGCCAACACAAGGGGAGAGCAUCCUGUCCAUGUUCCCAACAAAUGUAGCAGAGCAGAACAUAGCAGACGCGAAAAUUUCAAUUGAAAAAGCUGCACACAAGCAGCAAGUCAUGCUCCUCACCACAACCUGUGUCGCUGCCUCUAGCACAGCCAUCUCUCCUACCCCUCCUGUCCCCUUUAUCACCCAUGUGUAACAAAAGUGCACAGCAAGUUGGCCAUGACAGAAGGCAUUGUGCACCAAACUCCACCCUCACCCUCAGCAUGACUCAGCAUGCUUGGCAAGCCACAGCAGGCUACAGAGAAAAAAAGCUGCACACAAAAGGCAACUCAUGUGCAUGCUCCCUUGCACCUGUGCCUGUGUUGUUGCCGCCAGCACGGCCAUCGCUCCCGCCCCUUCCGUCUUGUUUGUUGCCUGUGUGUGCCAAAAGCGCACAGCAAGUUGACCUGACAGAAGACAGUCACAACAAACUCUGCCCUCACUCUCAGCAUGACCCAAGCAAGCCACAGCAGGCAACAGAAAAAAGCUGCACGCAAAAGGCACACCAGGUAACAAGUAGGGAACCUCAUUUAUUUCCUUUUGGGAGAAGCUUCUCACAUGUGCGUUGCAACUCCUAACUACGUGGUACAGGACAACACUUAGCCUUAGGGCCAGCGAGCCAUGCUUGCCCUUAGGCGUGGGUGGCCCCUAUGGGGCAUCGUUCCCAUGCUUCCUCCUCCCAUCACCUGUAUGGAAUAAAAAGAAGGCAAAGUAAUGAGCCAAUCCUUAAAUUCCUAAAAAGGAUGCGCUUGAAGGGCAUGCGGUCACAGCAUGCAAAGCAGCCUCGUUCUACACAGUCUGAGCUUGCAUGGGAAUCCUAAAUCUUAUG